GAGUACUACAAGCCACAGCUUAAAACUCAAAGGACUUGGUGGUGCUCUACACCCACCUAGAGGAGCCUGUUCUAUAAUCGAUACCCCUCGAUAAACCUCACCUCUUUUUGCUAAUUCAGCCUAUAUACCACCGCCCCCAGCUCACCCCUCAAGAGAAUAACAGUAAGCAAAAUAAUUUUAAAUAAAAAAGUCAGGUCAAGGUGUAGCACAUAAAAAGGAAAGAAAUGGGCUACAUUUUUUAUUUUAAAAAAUACGGAAUAUUUUAUGAAACAAAAUACAAAGGAGGAUUUAGAAGUAAAAAGAAAAGAGAGAGUUCUUUUUAAGCCGGCAAUAGAGUGCGC
rnacentral:rRNA from 1 species